rnacentral:rRNA from 1 species
GGUUAAGCGACUAAGCGUACACGGUGGAUGCCCUGGCAGUCAGAGGCGAUGAAGGACGUGCUAAUCUGCGAUAAGCGUCGGUAAGGUGAUAUGAACCGUUAUAACCGGCGAUUUCCGAAUGGGGAAACCCAGUGUGAUUCGUCACACUAUCAUUAACUGAAUCCAUAGGUUAAUGAGGCGAACCGGGGGAACUGAAACAUCUAAGUACCCCGAGGAAAAGAAAUCAACCGAGAUUCCCCCAGUAGCGGCGAGCGAACGGGGAGCAGCCCAGAGCCUGAAUCAGUGUGUGUGUUAGUGGAAGCGUCUGGAAAGGCGCGCGAUACAGGGUGACAGCCCCGUACACAAAAAUGCACAUACUGUGAGCUCGAUGAGUAGGGCGGGACACGUGGUAUCCUGUCUGAAUAUGGGGGGACCAUCCUCCAAGGCUAAAUACUCCUGACUGACCGAUAGUGAACCAGUACCGUGAGGGAAAGGCGAAAAGAACCCCGGCGAGGGGAGUGAAAAAGAACCUGAAACCGUGUACGUACAAGCAGUGGGAGCACGCUUAGGCGUGUGACUGCGUACCUUUUGUAUAAUGGGUCAGCGACUUAUAUUCUGUAGCAAGGUUAACCGAAUAGGGGAGCCGAAGGGAAACCGAGUCUUAACUGGGCGUUAAGUUGCAGGGUAUAGACCCGAAACCCGGUGAUCUAGCCAUGGGCAGGUUGAAGGUUGGGUAACACUAACUGGAGGACCGAACCGACUAAUGUUGAAAAAUUAGCGGAUGACUUGUGGCUGGGGGUGAAAGGCCAAUCAAACCGGGAGAUAGCUGGUUCUCCCCGAAAGCUAUUUAGGUAGCGCCUCGUGAAUUCAUCUCCGGGGGUAGAGCACUGUUUCGGCAAGGGGGUCAUCCCGACUUACCAACCCGAUGCAAACUGCGAAUACCGGAGAAUGUUAUCACGGGAGACACACGGCGGGUGCUAACGUCCGUCGUGAAGAGGGAAACAACCCAGACCGCCAGCUAAGGUCCCAAAGUCAUGGUUAAGUGGGAAACGAUGUGGGAAGGCCCAGACAGCCAGGAUGUUGGCUUAGAAGCAGCCAUCAUUUAAAGAAAGCGUAAUAGCUCACUGGUCGAGUCGGCCUGCGCGGAAGAUGUAACGGGGCUAAACCAUGCACCGAAGCUGCGGCAGCGACGCUUAUGCGUUGUUGGGUAGGGGAGCGUUCUGUAAGCCUGUGAAGGUGUACUGUGAGGUAUGCUGGAGGUAUCAGAAGUGCGAAUGCUGACAUAAGUAACGAUAAAGCGGGUGAAAAGCCCGCUCGCCGGAAGACCAAGGGUUCCUGUCCAACGUUAAUCGGGGCAGGGUGAGUCGACCCCUAAGGCGAGGCCGAAAGGCGUAGUCGAUGGGAAACAGGUUAAUAUUCCUGUACUUGGUGUUACUGCGAAGGGGGGACGGAGAAGGCUAUGUUGGCCGGGCGACGGUUGUCCCGGUUUAAGCGUGUAGGCUGGUUUUCCAGGCAAAUCCGGAAAAUCAAGGCUGAGGCGUGAUGACGAGGCACUACGGUGCUGAAGCAACAAAUGCCCUGCUUCCAGGAAAAGCCUCUAAGCAUCAGGUAACAUCAAAUCGUACCCCAAACCGACACAGGUGGUCAGGUAGAGAAUACCAAGGCGCUUGAGAGAACUCGGGUGAAGGAACUAGGCAAAAUGGUGCCGUAACUUCGGGAGAAGGCACGCUGAUAUGUAGGUGAAGUCCCUCGCGGAUGGAGCUGAAAUCAGUCGAAGAUACCAGCUGGCUGCAACUGUUUAUUAAAAACACAGCACUGUGCAAACACGAAAGUGGACGUAUACGGUGUGACGCCUGCCCGGUGC